rnacentral:rRNA from 1 species
UACAUGGGGUGCAAACGUUGCUCGGAAUUAUUGGGCGUAAAGCGCACGUAGGCGGUUUGUUAAGUCGGAUGUGAAAUCCCUCGGCUCAACUGAGGAAGUGCAUCCGAAACUGGCAGGCUUGAGUGCCGGAGAGGGUGGCGGAAUUCCCCAAGUAGAGGUGAAAUUCGUAGAUAUGGGGAGGAACACCGGUGGCGAAGGCGGCCACCUGGACGGUAACUGACGCUGAGACGCGAAAGCGUGGGGAGCAAACGGG